rnacentral:lncRNA from 1 species
UCGUUCACAAGUUUAGCUUAGACGAAAUUUAGGCAGCCAAAACAGAAUUUAAAAGAGACAAGCAUAUACGGGACAAAUUUCCCAACCUUUCCAUUAAUAUGGAAAAUAUACAAAGGACCCUCCCUUGACAAAGAACACAAUCCGUUCUUAUGCCAACACUAAGGUUCGCCUAUGCCAAACCUUAGCCCCCUUUUGGAAACUAGAAACCCUCACGUUCCUCUCGUGUUUCCCACAAAGAAAUUCCCUUGAAC